AAAGGGAGUGCGGGGUGCUAUACAUGCAGUCGAGCGAACUGAUUAGAAGCUUGCUUCUAUGACGUUAGCGGCGGACGGGUGAGUAACACGUGGGCAACCUGCCUGUAAGACUGGGAUAACUUCGGGAAACCGAAGCUAAUACCGGAUAGGAUCUUCUCCUUCAUGGGAGAUGAUUGAAAGAUGGUUUCGGCUAUCACUUACAGAUGGGCCCGCGGUGCAUUAGCUAGUUGGUGAGGUAACGGCUCACCAAGGCAACGAUGCAUAGCCGACCUGAGAGGGUGAUCGGCCACACUGGGACUGAGACACGGCCCAGACUCCUACGGGAGGCAGCAGUAGGGAAUCUUCCGCAAUGGACGAAAGUCUGACGGAGCAACGCCGCGUGAGUGAUGAAGGCUUUCGGGUCGUAAAACUCUGUUGUUAGGGAAGAACAAGUACAAGAGUAACUGCUUGUACCUUGACGGUACCUAACCAGAAAGCCACGGCUAACUACGUGCCAGCAGCCGCGGUAAU
rnacentral:rRNA from 2 species